AACGAACGCUGGCGGCAUGCCUAACACAUGCAAGUCGAACGAGACCUUCGGGUCUAGUGGCGCACGGGUGCGUAACGCGUGGGAACCUGCCCUUAAGUUCGGAAUAACUCCCCGAAAGGGGUGCUAAUACCGGAUAAUGUCUUCGGACCAAAGAUUUAUCGCCUUUGGAUGGGCCCGCGUUGGAUUAGCUAGUUGGUAGGGUAAAAGCCUACCAAGGCGACGAUCCAUAGCUGGUCUGAGAGGAUGAUCAGCCACACUGGGACUGAGACACGGCCCAGACUCCUACGGGAGGCAGCAGUGGGGAAUAUUGGACAAGGGGCGAAAGCCUGAUCCAGCAAUGCCGCGUGAGUGAUGAAGGCCUUAGGGUUGUAAAGCUCUUUUACCCGGGAUGAUAAUGACAGUACCGGGAGAAUAAGCUCCGGCUAACUCCGUG
rnacentral:rRNA from 1 species